rnacentral:rRNA from 1 species
GACUAACGCUGGCGGAAUGCCUCAUACAUGCAAGUCGAACGGCCCUUCGGGGCAGUGGCGGACGGGUGAGUAACACGUAGGUAACGUACCUCUAAGCUGGGGAUAACAGUGGGAAACCGCUGCUAAUACCGUAUAAGACCCGGGUUGAAAUACCCGUGUUUAAAGCUUUCGCGCUUAGAGAUCGGCCUGCGUCGGAUUAGCUAGUUGGUGAGGUAACGGCUCACCAAGGCGACGAUCAGUAGCUGGUCUGAGAGGAUGAUCAGCCACAUUGGGACUGAGACACGGCCCAAACUCCUACGGGAGGCAGCAGUGGGGAAUAUUGGACAAUGGGCGCAAGCCUGAUCCAGCCAUGCCGCGUGAGUGAUGAAGGCCCUAGGGUUGUAAAGCUCUUUUACCCGGGGAAGAUAAUGACUGUACCGGAGAAUAAGCCCCGGCUAACUUCGUGCCAGCCGCCGCCGUAAG